UUAGCCCAGGAAACCGCAGAGCCCUCUAGGGCCCCGCUAGCCUUUCAGCGUCUCUCACCCUUGGUCCCGCCCAACACGGCACCCACCGGGUCACGGGAGGACAAGCGACCCAAGCCUGGGGGGCGGUGCUGGCCUUGGUGACGUCUCAAUGUCAUAUGCAAAUAGUGCGACGUCAAGGUCUACCGGCGCGCGGCAACCAAUAGGGAGCCCGGAACGCAGCCCCAGCGGCCGGCCGUGGAGAUAGACAAAGGCCCCGACACAGGGGGCGCAGGGCGUGUCCCCGGGCUCAGGGAGCCCCGGGGCCCAAGCUGGCGGGGACUCACCUGGGACCCGGAGCGACGCGGCAGGCGGGGUGAUGCUGAGCUGAUCGUGACAUCACAAAGGGGCCCGCCCGCCGCGCGUCACUGGCCGCCGAAGAGCUCUCUCCCCGGUUCAGGGGGGAGCACCAGCAAGUGA
ensembl:lncRNA